UAGGGCACUCUAUGGAGACUGCCGGUGUCAAACCGGAGGAAGGUGGGGAUGACGUCAAGUCCUCAUGGCCCUUAUGACCAGGGCUACACACGUGCUACAAUGGCCGGUACAAAGAGUUGCGAUACCGCGAGGUGGAGCUAAUCUCAUAAAGCCGGUCUCAGUUCGGAUUGGAGUCUGCAACUCGACUCCAUGAAGUUGGAAUCGCUAGUAAUCGCGGAUCAGCACGCCGCGGUGAAUACGUUCCCGGGCCUU
rnacentral:rRNA from 1 species